rnacentral:lncRNA from 1 species
AGAAGCCUUAAGAUCAGUAAUAACACAGUAAAAAUCCCAGCAGAAAGAAGCAAUCAUGCCAACAGGAACUGAAGCAGCCAACCAUAUGGAGAAAAUGCAGCCCACAAGGACAGUUCAAUACAGACAGUUCAAUGUAUCUCCUUCUGCAUGGAAGAGAAUAAAACUGACUGUGUUGCCAGUAGACCUACUGCAAGGAGUCAUGCUCAAAAUCAUUAUCAUUACAGAUAUACCAUAAACAUGGAAGCAUUGUGCUUCAGAUCGAACAACUGAAUGUUCAGGCAUCUGUUUGAGGAUGGAGGAGCAACACUUUCAUAGAGAAACUUGAAAGGAUAACUAGGAUGGACAAUUACAACUGAGGUUCCUAGGUCUACAAAAGGACUUGGACAUAAGGCUGCGAUCACUGGGCCAUCUUCUUCCCCCUCCUCCCCAGCCAGCUGGGCAUACCCCAUAGCAGGAGCAGCAGGUGGGACCUUUUUUAAAGUCCCCCAGUCAGGUAAGAAUCUCCAUCGUGGCUACUGUCCCGUUCCGGUUGCAUUGCAUGCAGGGCAAAAACUGGCUGAUGGCAGACUGGGAGCACUGGCAUCCCCACACCUGCUCUUGGUGUGGGGAUGCCAGGUAGCUUGGCGGGGUGGAGGGAGCGGUGAAGAGCAAUUUUUCUGACACUGUUGCUGAAGCUGGCUCAUUGUGGAACAGGGCAGGGGGUGCUCUGGACCCCUGCCUGCCCACAGGACAGCAAGGGCAGUGGAGAAAGCAGCAGUG